ensembl:snoRNA small nucleolar RNA SNORD60
AGCCACUGAUGACAUACCUAACUUUUCUGACACCUCGUAUGAGAGCUGCGCUGUGGCUCCUGAUUCUAACUCUGAUCUGAGGCUC